rnacentral:rRNA from 1 species
UACGUAGGGUGCAAGCGUUGUCCGGAAUCACUGGGCGUAAAGGGCGCGUAGGUGGUCUGAUAAGGGUGUGGUGAAAGCCCGGGGCUCAACCCCGGGUCGGCCGUGCCGACUGUUGGACUAGAGUGCUGUAGGGGCAGGCGGAAUUCCGGGUGUAGCGGUGGAAUGCGUAGAGAUCCGGAGGAAGACCGGUGGCGAAGGCGGCCUGCUGGGCAGUUACUGACACUGAGGCGCGACAGCGUGGGGAGCAAACAGG